UACGAAGGGUGCAAGCGUUACUCGGAAUUACUGGGCGUAAAGCGUGCGUAGGUGGUGAGUUAAGUCUGUCGUGAAAGCCCCGGGCUCAACCUGGGAAUGGCGAUGGAUACUGGCUCGCUAGAGUGCGGUAGAGGAGAGUGGAAUUCCCGGUGUAGCAGUGAAAUGCGUAGAGAUCGGGAGGAACAUCAGUUGCGAAGGCGGCUCUCUGGACCAGCACUGACGCUGAUGCGCGAAAGCGUGGGUAGCAAACAGG
rnacentral:rRNA from 1 species